rnacentral:rRNA from 1 species
AUACGUAGGGGGCGAGCGUUGUCCGGAAUGAUUGGGCGUAAAGGGCGCGUAGGCGGCCCGGUAAGUCUGGAGUGAAAGUCCUGUUUUUAAGAUGGGAAUUGCUUUGGAUACUGUCGGGCUUGAGUGCAGGAGAGGUAAGUGGAAUUCCCAGUGUAGCGGUGAAAUGCGUAGAGAUUGGGAGGAACACCAGUGGCGAAGGCGACUUACUGGACUGUAACUGAAGCUGAGGCGCGAAAGUGUGGGGAGCAAACAGGAUUAGAUACCCUGGUAGUCCACACUGUAAACGAUGAAUGCUAGGUGUAGGGGGUAUCGACCCCUUCUGUGCCGCAGUCAACACAAUAAGCAUUCCGCCUGGGGAGUACGGCCGCAAGGUUGAAACUCAAAGGAAUUGACGGGG